AACGCACCUUGCGCCCCUUGGUAUUCCGAGGGGCAUGCCUGUUUGAGUGUCAUUAAAUUCUCAACCUUACUAGCUUUUAUGAGCAAUGUAAUGGCUUGGAUGUGGGGGUCUUUUUUUUGCUGGCUUCGAAAGAAAUCAGCUCCCCUAAAAUGUAUUAGCUGGUGCCCCCGUGUGGACUAUCUACUGGUGUGAUAAUUAUCUAUGCCGUUAGAUGUCUGCUUUAAAUAGGGAUGUGCUGCUUCUAAUUGUCCACUUAGGACACUUAUUGACUAUUUGACCUCAAAUCAGGUAGGACUACCCGCUGAACUUAA
rnacentral:misc_RNA from 2 species